UGGGGAAUUUUCCGCAAUGGGCGAAAGCCUGACGGAGCAAGACCGCGUGAGGGAAGAAGGCCCUUGGGUUGUAAACCUCUUUUCUCAAGGAAGAAGAAAGUGACGGUACUUGAGGAAUAAGCAUCGGCUAACUCCGUGCCAGCAGCCGCGGUAAGACGGAGGAUGCAAGCGUUAUCCGGAAUUAUUGGGCGUAAAGGGUCCGCAGGUGGUUUCUCAAGUCGGCAGUCAAAGACCGGAGCUUAACUUCGGAAAGGCUGUGGAAACUGAGAGACUAGAGAGAGGUAGGGGUAAGGGGAAUUCCCGGUGUAGCGGUGAAAUGCGUAGAGCUCGGGAAGAACACCGGUGGCGAAAGCGCCUUACUGGACCUCAUCUGACACUCAGGGACGAAAGCUAGGGGAGCGAAUGGGAUUAGAUACCCCAGUAGUC
rnacentral:rRNA from 1 species